rnacentral:rRNA from 1 species
UACCAGCACCCCGAGUGGUCGGGACGUUUUAUUGGGCCUAAAGCAUCCGUAGCCGGUUCUACAAGUCUUCCGUUAAAUCCAACUGCUUAACAGGUGGGCUGCGGAAGAUACUAUAGAGCUAGGAGGCGGGAGAGGCAAGCGGUACUCGAUGGGUAGGGGUAAAAUCCGUUGAUCCAUUGAAGACCACCAGUGGCGAAGGCGGCUUGCCAGAACGCGCUCGACGGUGAGGGAUGAAAGCUGGGGGAGCAACCGGG